CACUGGKGUUCGAAUCAGACGRRGUGACGWGAGGUGWUCCUGCUUCAGAMGACGCUUGCGGCGUGCUAAUANCAUGCAAGUCGAGNNNNNAGAUGGGUAAAGGCUUGCUCCCUUGAUGUUAGCGGCGGACGGGUUGAGUAAGACGUGGGUAACUUGCCUGUAAGACUGGGAUAACUCCCGGGAAACCGGGGCUAAUACCGGAUGGUUGUUUCGAACCGCAUGGUUCAGACAUNAAAAGGUGGCUUCGGCUACCACUUACAGAUGGACCCGGCGGCGCAUUAGCUAGUUGGUGAGGUAACGGCUCACCAAGGCAACGAUGCGUAGCCGACCUGAGAGGGUGAUCGGCCACACUGGGACUGAGACACGGCCCAGACUCCUACGGGAGGCANGCAGUAGGGAAUCUUCCGCAAUGGACGAAAGUCUGACGGAGCAACGCCGCGUGAGUGAUGAAGGUUUUCGGAUCGUAAAGCUCUGUUGUUAGGGAAGAACAAGUGCCGUUCAAAUAGGGCGGCACCUUGACGGUACCUAACCAGAAAGCCACGGCUAACUACGUGCCAGCAGCCGCGGUAAUACGUAGGUGGCAAGCGUUGUCCGGAAUUAUUGGGCGUAAAGGGCUCGCAGGCGGUUUCUUAAGUCUGAUGUGAAAGCCCCCGGCUCAACCGGGGAGGGUCAUUGGAAACUGGGGAACUUGAGUGCAGAAGAGGAGAGUGGAAUUCCACGUGUAGCGGUGAAAUGCGUAGAGAUGUGGAGGAACACCAGUGGCGAANGGCGACUCUCUGGUCUGUAACUGACGCUGAGGAGCGAAAGCGUGGGGAGCGAACAGGAUUAGAUACCCUGGUAGUCCACGCCGUAAACGAUGAGUGCUAAGUGUUAGGGGNUUUCCGCCCCUUUANUGCUGCAGCUAACGCAUUAAGCACUCCGCCUGGGGAGUACGGUCGCAAGAACUGAAACUCAAAARAAUUGACGGCUGA
rnacentral:rRNA from 1 species